GUAUGCAACCUCACAGCAAGGCAAUGAUGGUGGCAGGCCUGUCCUGUCUAAGGAACACAGAGGCCAUGACAGGAAGAAUCCUGCCCCGUGUUUCUGUCACUAUGGAUCAGGAAGCAGCACACAGAUCACCACUUUCAUGUCUGUAACCCCAAUAGACAUCACCAGUGGAUCUCAGAUCUCUUUCUUUACUGGAUGGAAAGGCUCGGCUUAAGUUCCUCGGCUCAAAACCAGACCCUGGACAUGGACGUGCUCACCCAGAUGGUGCCUAGGUAGGGCAGCUGCUUGUUUAUUUGGUCCUGGUCUGGAAUGGAUUCAAGACUUCUGAUGGUCUUACCUGAGCGUGGAGACCUGGGAGAGGGACCGUCAGGUUGCAAGCCCCACAGGUCUCCUUCCCCUGUGCUCAAGGAGUGUCUUGCAGGGAGUGUCCGUAACUCCCUGCUGUCAGAAACUACCACCCAGGGAACAGAGCAGCAGGUGGGGGUCUGCUCUUCUGUGCUGGCCCUGCCCCCAUGAGGCUGAAUGGGCGCCUUGGUGCAGCUCCGGGGGCCCCAGAAACAUUUGCUUUAAGUCUUAAAAUAUCAGGUUCCCGAAUGGCGGGACUUCCCUGGGGGCUGGCAGCAGGCAGGAGGGAUUUUGAGAGUAAGAUUCCCUCUGGCUCCGCCCCAUUGGCUCCGCCCCAUUGGCCUCCACUGAAGCCAGGCAAAUGUUGUGGGUAAGCCAACAGGGCUCCGACUGGGCUCCCAUUCUCCUGCUGGAGGGAGCCUCCUACUCACUCGUCCAUCUCAGCUUCUCGGAUGCCCCUCUGUCCUCUUCACAAUGUGUGCCCUGGUGGAGGCCGGGCCCUGACAGCUUCCGUACCAAGCUUCAUAGCCAAAGCUUGAUUCUACAGGACCCAAUAACAUCUUCAGCUAAAGACGAUUUAGAUGAAGUGCUGUGUACCCUAAGCCUGUGUGCAGCCUUCUUUCAGACCAGAGAAACUAGGAAGAAAUGACACCAGGUUAAUAUGGAGCUUAGUACUCCCAGUGGCUUUCAAGCAAUAGGUAUAAUUGCACAGGGUCUUGAAGGGUGAGUAGGAGUUUCCAGAUGGCUCAGGUGGGGAGGCUCAUUGGCUCAAAGAUCUGGGUGGUACAAGCUGGUACCUGGUUCUUGGACUAGAAGGGAGACUCUGUGGGUACAGACAGGGACAGAGGGAUGUUCGAUCCACUUCUUAGAACAUAUAGGAGCUUGGCACGGGUGCCACCUGAGGAUGCAAUUGAGAGCUAUUAGAGAUUCAGGUAUUAAAAGCAGGGAGACCUUCUGCACACAAUCUGGGGGGCGGGUAAGAGAGUCUCCCCAACAGCUUGUUCUGUCCCUUAGCAUGAAAGCAACUUCCUCCUACUCCUGAUGCCCCAGGGACCACUGCCAGGAGGAAGGCACAGCCCCCACACAUCCCCACUCCCUCUCAGACAGACCACCAGCCUUGGCCCUAGGGACUCUCUUCCAUGCAGAGCGGGAAUUGGAGCCAGGCUGCAACAGCUGGGUCCACUCCUGCCCACCCCCCCAGGCCUACCACUUUCAUUCCCAGGCCCCCAGCCCAAGCCAUUCCCAGGCUGUAUCUGUCCCCAAACACACUGCUUGGGAUGUGGUCCGACCAGGCUUCCAGAAGACCACCAGUCAGGGUGUUGCCUUCCUCUGGCUCCCAGGAUGCAGAGUCUUAGGUUGGCAGGGUUUCUUAGGCUUGUUGUCACCAGGGUAAGCUAUAAAGAACAGAGGUCCCCUAGGGGACUCAACAGCUCCCCCAGAAAUAGCAAGAGGGAGGGACUGAGGGAAAAGGAGCGGGAGGGAGAGGGGAAGGGAGAGAGAAUAUAUCAUUCAAGGUAUACAAGACCUCCAACAGUUCAUUCUGGAAGCAGCUACCUAUAGAUUCAUGCAUGUAUUCAAACAGCCAGUCCUGGUUCCAACUGGUGGGUUCCACCAACCACAGAAUAAAAAUAUUUU